rnacentral:rRNA from 1 species
AUGAGGAUCACGGUUUGGAACUACCGGGGUUUGGGGAAUGGCCCGGCAGUUCGGGGGCUUCUGGACCUCCAAAAGCGGCUGGACCCCGAUAUUCUUUUCUUAUCCGAGACAAAAUUGGAUGGGAGAAGGAUGCAACGGAUAACAUACCUGUUGGGAAUGCCAAAUAUGGUGGUAAGGGAUUGUGAAGGAAAGAGAGGUGGGCUUGCUUUAAUGUGGAAGAGACAUGUGAAAGUUGAAUUGCACAAUUACUCGAGAUAUCAUAUUGAUAUGAAGAUAGUGGAACAAGAUGGUUUUAAAUGGAGAUUCACGGGCAUAUAUGGUGAGCCUGCGAUGGAAAAAAGGGAUAAAACGUGGAAGCUUUUGAGGACUCUAGACCAACAAAUAAAACUUUCAUGGCUUUGUGCCGGUGAUUUCAAUGAAGUCUUAUAUAGCCAUGAAAAGAAAGGUGGCUCAUCUCGGGCUACUAAACAAAUGGAGUAG